GGUUAAGCGACUAAGCGUACACGGUGGAUGCCCUGGCAGUCAGAGGCGAUGAAGGACGUGCUAAUCUGCGAUAAGCGUCGGUAAGGUGAUAUGAACCGUUAUAACCGGCGAUUUCCGAAUGGGGAAACCCAGUGUGAUUCGUCACACUAUCAUUAACUGAAUCCAUAGGUUAAUGAGGCGAACCGGGGGAACUGAAACAUCUAAGUACCCCGAGGAAAAGAAAUCAACCGAGAUUCCCCCAGUAGCGGCGAGCGAACGGGGAGCAGCCCAGAGCCUGAAUCAGUGUGUGUGUUAGUGGAAGCGUCUGGAAAGGCGUGCGAUACAGGGUGACAGCCCCGUACACAAAAAUGCACAUGCUGUGAGCUCGAUGAGUAGGGCGGGACACGUGGUAUCCUGUCUGAAUAUGGGGGGACCAUCCUCCAAGGCUAAAUACUCCUGACUGACCGAUAGUGAACCAGUACCGUGAGGGAAAGGCGAAAAGAACCCCGGCGAGGGGAGUGAAAAAGAACCUGAAACCGUGUACGUACAAGCAGUGGGAGCACAGAGCAAUCUGUGUGACUGCGUACCUUUUGUAUAAUGGGUCAGCGACUUAUAUUCUGUAGCAAGGUUAACCGAAUAGGGGAGCCGAAGGGAAACCGAGUCUUAACUGGGCGUUAAGUUGCAGGGUAUAGACCCGAAACCCGGUGAUCUAGCCAUGGGCAGGUUGAAGGUUGGGUAACACUAACUGGAGGACCGAACCGACUAAUGUUGAAAAAUUAGCGGAUGACUUGUGGCUGGGGGUGAAAGGCCAAUCAAACCGGGAGAUAGCUGGUUCUCCCCGAAAGCUAUUUAGGUAGCGCCUCGUGAAUUCAUCUCCGGGGGUAGAGCACUGUUUCGGCAAGGGGGUCAUCCCGACUUACCAACCCGAUGCAAACUGCGAAUACCGGAGAAUGUUAUCACGGGAGACACACGGCGGGUGCUAACGUCCGUCGUGAAGAGGGAAACAACCCAGACCGCCAGCUAAGGUCCCAAAGUCAUGGUUAAGUGGGAAACGAUGUGGGAAGGCCCAGACAGCCAGGAUGUUGGCUUAGAAGCAGCCAUCAUUUAAAGAAAGCGUAAUAGCUCACUGGUCGAGUCGGCCUGCGCGGAAGAUGUAACGGGGCUAAACCAUGCACCGAAGCUGCGGCAGCGACACUAUGUGUUGUUGGGUAGGGGAGCGUUCUGUAAGCCUGCGAAGGUGUGCUGUGAGGCAUGCUGGAGGUAUCAGAAGUGCGAAUGCUGACAUAAGUAACGAUAAAGCGGGUGAAAAGCCCGCUCGCCGGAAGACCAAGGGUUCCUGUCCAACGUUAAUCGGGGCAGGGUGAGUCGACCCCUAAGGCGAGGCCGAAAGGCGUAGUCGAUGGGAAACAGGUUAAUAUUCCUGUACUUGGUGUUACUGCGAAGGGGGGACGGAGAAGGCUAUGUUGGCCGGGCGACGGUUGUCCCGGUUUAAGCGUGUAGGCUGGUUUUCCAGGCAAAUCCGGAAAAUCAAGGCUGAGGCGUGAUGACGAGGCACUACGGUGCUGAAGCAACAAAUGCCCUGCUUCCAGGAAAAGCCUCUAAGCAUCAGGUAACAUCAAAUCGUACCCCAAACCGACACAGGUGGUCAGGUAGAGAAUACCAAGGCGCUUGAGAGAACUCGGGUGAAGGAACUAGGCAAAAUGGUGCCGUAACUUCGGGAGAAGGCACGCUGAUAUGUAGGUGAAGCGACUUGCUCGUGGAGCUGAAAUCAGUCGAAGAUACCAGCUGGCUGCAACUGUUUAUUAAAAACACAGCACUGUGCAAACACGAAAGUGGACGUAUACGGUGUGACGCCUGCCCGGUGCCGGAAGGUUAAUUGAUGGGGUCAGCGCAAGCGAAGCUCUUGAUCGAAGCCCCGGUAAACGGCGGCCGUAACUAUAACGGUCCUAAGGUAGCGAAAUUCCUUGUCGGGUAAGUUCCGACCUGCACGAAUGGCGUAAUGAUGGCCAGGCUGUCUCCACCCGAGACUCAGUGAAAUUGAACUCGCUGUGAAGAUGCAGUGUACCCGCGGCAAGACGGAAAGACCCCGUGAACCUUUACUAUAGCUUGACACUGAACAUUGAGCCUUGAUGUGUAGGAUAGGUGGGAGGCUUGGAAGUGUGGACGCCAGUCUGCAUGGAGCCGACCUUGAAAUACCACCCUUUAAUGUUUGAUGUUCUAACGUUGACCCGUAAUCCGGGUUGCGGACAGUGUCUGGUGGGUAGUUUGACUGGGGCGGUCUCCUCCUAAAGAGUAACGGAGGAGCACGAAGGUUGGCUAAUCCUGGUCGGACAUCAGGAGGUUAGUGCAAUGGCAUAAGCCAGCUUGACUGCGAGCGUGACGGCGCGAGCAGGUGCGAAAGCAGGUCAUAGUGAUCCGGUGGUUCUGAAUGGAAGGGCCAUCGCUCAACGGAUAAAAGGUACUCCGGGGAUAACAGGCUGAUACCGCCCAAGAGUUCAUAUCGACGGCGGUGUUUGGCACCUCGAUGUCGGCUCAUCACAUCCUGGGGCUGAAGUAGGUCCCAAGGGUAUGGCUGUUCGCCAUUUAAAGUGGUACGCGAGCUGGGUUUAGAACGUCGUGAGACAGUUCGGUCCCUAUCUGCCGUGGGCGCUGGAGAACUGAGGGGGGCUGCUCCUAGUACGAGAGGACCGGAGUGGACGCAUCACUGGUGUUCGGGUUGUCAUGCCAAUGGCACUGCCCGGUAGCUAAAUGCGGAAGAGAUAAGUGCUGAAAGCAUCUAAGCACGAAACUUGCCCCGAGAUGAGUUCUCCCUGACUCCUUGAGAGUCCUGAAGGAACGUUGAAGACGACGACGUUGAUAGGCCGGGUGUGUAAGCGCAGCGAUGCGUUGAGCUAACCGGUACUAAUGAACCGUGAGGCUUAACCUU
rnacentral:rRNA from 1 species